UCCCCCUUUCUUUUUUUUUUCCUUCCUCUAGGUCUUCUUAAACUUUCCAUUUUUUCUCCUGUAUAUUCAUUACAUUUGUCAGGAUUUCAAUUUGUCAUCAACAUGGUAGUAAGUACCCCAUAAAUAGUACUCUCAUAGGGACAGGGUGCAGACAAUUACUCAGUUCAGGAAUGGACUCUAUCACAUGUCUCAUAGUGGUAGGAAUAAUCCUCGAGGUGGCUCGUCGGCCCCAUCCUUGGUCUUGUUGCUAUACUUGUCUCUUCCACUUAGAUAAAAUAGAUAGUUGCCUGUUAAAGGCCACAACUGGUGCUCCAAACCUCAAGCCUAUUCAACUAUUAAAUGAUCAAGUUAGAGCUAUAUGGCUAAUAGAAUAUACAAAUUAGAUUCAUCUAGUUGACCCUAAACGUCACACACGUAAGAAAGAAUGAGAAAGAAAUCCAAGAUACAUCCUAUCACACUCUCGCAGAAUCACGAUUAUAGAAAUGGCCGGCAACAUAACCAUAAUUGAGAUUCUACUACUAUCGUGUGCUCCAUAGACACAGAAUUAACCUAGACUCUCUGAUACAUCAAUAUCAUUAUUUCAUGUAAGCCAAGUGAACCAAUAGUUCAGUAAUAAACUUCGAAAAAUAUCGUAUCAUAUCAAAUAUUACAUAUUUGGGAGUUUUUCAAUAAUGAAUCAUGUAAGCAGUGUGACAUUCUUCUUUAUUAAGAAUAACUCAUAACAGUGGACCCCUCAUAAAAGAGUCAAAUCAUAUCAUCUUAGUGGCCAUUCUUCUUCAUUAAGAAUAAUCCAUAACAGUGGAUCCCUCGUAAAGGAGUCAAAUCAUAUCAGUAUCAGUAUGCUAGUUCUACCUUCCCACUAGCGAGGGCUGUAAUAUUCAUCAGAAAAUACAAGGUGCACCAGGUCUAAUGAUCCCGUCGUUAGCUACGAGAUUCAAAUCAAGGUCUACUCCCAUUUAUAAAUUCUUUGUAAACAAUAGGAUAUUCAUAUGAAAGCAUUUUUCAGAAUAAUACAUAUCAUUUAAAGUUCAUAUCAAAUCAUGCUACAUAUAAACUUGAGUAAAAACACAUGUCAAAAAUACUUGUUUCUCAUGUAAGUGAAAAUAUUCACCAUAAUAAUAUCAUAUCUUAAAUAACCACUUCAAUAUCAUGUCAAGAUCAUAUCUCAAAUAGCCAUUUCAAUAUCAUAUCGAGAUCAUAUCUCAAAUAACCUUUUUUUCAAUAUCAUAUCAAGAUCAUAUCUCAAAUAACCUUUUCAAUAUCAUAUCAAAAUCAUAUCUUAAAUAACCGUUUCAAUAUCAUAUCAAAUAAAGGACUUGUCCCACAUGCAAUUUCAAAGUAUAUUAUAACUCAUUGUUUCAUCAAAAACAUGUAUAAUUAUGUAAUUUAAUAAACACAAAUCAUGAUAAGAUUACUAUUCACAGUACAAUUUUCGAAAUACCAACUUGUCACCUCGAACAAUUGAUAGGACUCUCUUCAAUCGAAUCUUAAACCCCAAAGAAUU
rnacentral:lncRNA from 1 species